AAGAGAUACAUACUUAUUUAAAAUAGAACUUAUUGGACACGACUAAGAAAAAAAACAAAUUUCGACUUGUUGCUGAGAACAAUUUCGCAUGGAAAAUCGAAUUCUGUUCUGCUGAUCGGUCCUAAGGAUUCUGGGAAAACUACUUUGCUCAAAGAAGUGUUAAAUCAGCUGCAAAACGUCUCAAAUGCACUUGGAUAAUGCUGUAGAUAGUAAAGUGUUUGGGAGCUUUGCAGAAGACUUGGUAUUCCUGUUAGUAUAUUUGAGGACCGGAGAGAGACACACAUCAAAAAGUAAAAUAAUCAUUUUAGAAGAGUUUGAUCUCUUUUGCAACCAUCAUAAUUAUCAUCAUUUUUAUAAUUUGUUUGACGUGUCACACUCAGCUCAAGCUCCAAUUUGUGAAUUGGGUAUAAAGGUGUUACAAUGUUCAAGAAUUUUGUUUUAUUUUUUAAUUUUUAAUGGGUAACUUGUCGUUUAGUUGUUACAGAACUUUUGGAAAAACAUGUGAAGUCUAGAUACUCACAUUGACAAUUUUUUUUGUUUCCCGGAGAAGUUGAGAUACCAUUUAAUCUGAAUUACGCGUUAAACAGUAUAAAACAAUUAUUGCAGUUGCCAAACACUGAGAUUCAAAUUAAUGCAAACAUCAGGAAGCAGUGGAAUUCUAAUAAGAAAUUUAAAGACAUAAUCCAGAGGAUAAUUGAUAUCGAUUUAUAUGACAAGAGUUUAAAAACAUCUUGGUAAUCAAAUGUUUUUUUAUUAAAUUUAUCAAUAGUAAUUUAGCAAGUUUUCAGAUAAAAGUUGUGUCAAGGCUGAAUGAAAAUAAUUAAAAUUGACUAAUGAGCAGUUCCAAGAGUAACUAAACUAUUCGGAAAAAGAUAAUACCAUUUAAACACUUCAAUACUUAAAUGUUUUGGAAUUGUGUCUCAUUACAGCUAUGAAACAUCAUAUUGAGAUUUAUGAAAUUUUCUAAUGCUAACACCAAUGUCCAUACAAUUGUAAUAAUGAAGUUAUUUGAGCAUAUCGAGGUUAUAUAUUUACGAAUCUCAAAUUGAUCUCUAAAAUUGGUGGGAAGAGAAAAAGAAAUAUCAGCCUUUUAAACUUUUGGUAACUCCAAGGGAAAUUUCGGAAGCAAUCAAUAAAUGUC